UACGGGGGGGGCAAGCGUUGUUCGGAAUUACUGGGCGUAAAGCGCGCGUAGGCGGCUCUUCAAGUCGAGUGUGAAAGCUCCAGGCUUAACCUGGGAAUUGCGCUCGAUACUGUUGAGCUAGAGUGUGGAAGGGGCUACUGGAAUUCCGUGUGUAGCGGUGAAAUGCGUAGAUAUAACGGAGGAACACCAGCGGCGAAGGCGGGUAGC
rnacentral:rRNA from 1 species